UUAUUAUAAAAGAUAAGUUAACCUUCUUUUUAUUUAGACAGAAAAGAGGAGAUGAUGGGGGAAAUACUUCUGUGUAUGUUUAUAAAUAAAGUACUUGCUUGGCCAAUGAGACAGCAGGUUAGGCUGGACUAAGAGUCAAAGAGGAUUCUGGGAAAUGUAGUAUAGAAAUGGUGUCCUAGACAGGAAGUGACAUAGCCAGAAGACUCAUAUUUAAGAAGAGGAAAAAGGAAGUGUCGCUCUCUCUUUCCCCUCGGCUCCUGCUCCAGCGGCACGAUGUGAUUCACCAGCAAGGAGGGAUGCCAAUAAGGCGUCCGAUAAGUGCAUCUCAGGAGGGUAAACCUUGAUUUGAGUCUGGAGGUCCUCAGUGAGUGGUAUCAUGUUUUUAGAGCUUUGCCUUGCCUCUCAGAAGUGAGAACCAUCUUCAUAUCCCCAGGGAUACCACUGGAGCUGGACCAGUGUCCUCUUCAGCUCCUUAUGACUGGUUCUCUUCUGAGUGCUCCAAACUGAAAUAGAGCUGGGCUGGCGAGUACUCAAGAAGAGGGAAGAGUCAAAGAUACCUGUGAAUGACAAAAUUAACCUGAAGGAGAGGAAAUGGCAUAAGAAAGCUAAUCAUCUAGAACUAGAAGAAACCAUCCUGAGUGAGGUCCAUUCGGCUGAAGUCCCUGAAUCUGCCAGGAAUAGGCCUCCACCUUGCCAGCCUGAAAGGCCACAGAGCAAACAUCCAAGGAGACAGAAGACCACAAACAGCCUUUCACGGGGAGUGUAUAGAAGAACCAGAGAGUGGCAGCAAGGGACUGAUUUGAUUGCUCAGCCAGCAGCAGCAGCAGCAGCAGCAGCAGCAGCAACAGCAGCAGCAGCAGCAGCAAGGAGAUUGUAGACCUCAGUUACAAGGAGCUCAAUUCUGCCAAGAAGCAUUCUCUCUGGAAGACAGCUUCAGCUUCAGGUGAGGUUAGCACAGGUAACCAGAUUUUGACAGAUUUGAGACCUGUGUAGAUAAUCCAGCUGGCUACUCUAGGGUUUUAGACCAAUGGAAACAGAAACAGUAGAUGUGGACUGUUUUAAGCAGCCAACCAAAUGUGAGUAAAGCCUUUCAAAGCUUCUUGAUUCCCCCAGAAAAAUAGUACUAACAACUCCUUAGCAAAGAUUCAGGACUUCCAUUGUCCAGGCUUUGUUGAUUUGAGCAGAUCCAUACCUUAACCCUCUGUCCUUAUCUGCUGGGGUUAGUUCUCUUUGCUUACUUUGAAGGGAGCCUCCCCUGCUUGUGCCCUCCAGCUUCUAGAAUAUUCUCCAUUCUCAGCUGACUUUCCCUUUUUGUCUAGCACAUCUUCUUAGUAACUUUGCCUCAGUUGGUGACAUCAUUAUUUUACCUCACAGCACACCAGACUCUCUCUGUCCCUUUCAUAACCUUCAUCUUAGCAGUUUGUUAGUACCACUUUCUCUCUUUUCCACACAAGACUGUGAUUCUUGAUGGCAGGUGCCAUAUCUAAUAUUUUUCCAAAGUCUUGGAAGCGAACGGUGUUGGAACCAAUAGGCACUCUGUGAGUACAAAUGACUGGUGUUAAGAGGUUUGGCUUUUAGGAAAUCACUCUUGGUGACUGUGGUAGAAGAUGAAAUGGAAGGGCUAGACAGAAAACACAGAGAAGAGUCAGAAAGAGUUCGCAGCAGCCUGGGAAAAGGAUGGUGGGCUAAAAAUGUGGUGGUAGGAAGCCCGGAGUUCACUGCAGAAGCAAAAUUGUAUCAAUGAAUGAAAAAUGCUCAUGAAAAUGGCACCUGGCUCUCAGGCUCUGGUACAGCCUCUCAAUCCACUAAACACUUAUGGAAACAGGAGAUAAGAGCUCACAAAUACAUCUAGAACCAAAAUUGGGACCCUGAUGAAUAUUGAAUCAGAGAGGCUUUCCCACUAACUAUAAAGCAAAUGAAGUUGAAAUGAGGAAAACCCAUUUCCCUUGGCCUUAUGAAGAACUGAUGCAAUUUGAAGAAAAACAUGAAGUAAUUUGUAGGAGAUGCUUUGGUAAUGAGACCCUGGGACUAUCAUGACUGGUAGAUGAAGUCUCUUUCUUUCUUCAGUGAAGUCACCAGAGUAUUGCUCCUUCCAGCCCCAUUUUAUUUCUGUAUUUCUCAUCUCCAUCUAUCUAGCAAGGCCUGUGUUAUUCAGAAACAGUAAUUACCAACAAAGACGAAAAGUGUGUGUAUGCACACUGGAAGGCUAUUUUGCGCUGUUCAAGCAGUACAAAUAAAGAGCUGUAGGCAAUAGAAAGGACUCAAGGACACAAUGUCAUUGCAUGUUGGCAGUUGUUCCAUGUAUCCUAUUUCCUCCAAGGGUUAGAGACCCAGUAACCAGUGUAGGGAGUUCGAGGCAGGAAGAUUCAGAAGUUCAAGGUCAUCCUCAGCUACAUAAUGAGUUUGAGGCCUGUCAGGGUUACCUGGCUAUAAGACUGCCUCAAAAACAAAACAACCAGUGAAACUCUGCUAUUCCGUCUGUUGUUGAGUACAAGAUGUGAGCAGUGUGGUGGUUUGAAUGAAAAUGGCCCCCAUAGGCUUGUAGAUUUGAAUACAUUGUUACCAGGGAGUGGUCUUAUUUGAAAGGAUUAGGAGGUGGGUAAGCUAGUCACUGCGGAAUGCCUUUGAGAUUUCAAAUUUCCCAUUUCAACCACAGAGUCUCUCUCUUCCUGCAGAUUUGGAUGCAGAACUCUCAGUUAUUUCUCUAGCACCAUGUCUGACUGUGUACUGCCAUGCUCCCUACAUAAUGAUAAUGGACUGAACGUCCGAAACUUUAAAUGCUUUCUUUUAUAAGAGUUUCUGUGGUCAUGGUGUCUCGUCAUAGCAAUAAAACACUGACUAAGACAGGCAUUAUAUUUUAUUCUGUAUUUAUACAUAAUUGAGAGAGAUUAUAUUUUUUUUCAAGAGGAACAAUAGAAAAAUCAUAUGAAAUUUCUUAAAGCAAAAAAGACCUCUUUUUGGAUAUGAUAGACUCUGAUGACCUCCAACGGAAGGCCUCACUCUCCCUGGGGAGCAGAAAGGAUAUGUGAUAGGUAAGGUUUUAGUUGGGGGGGAG
ensembl:lincRNA